UACGUAGGGUGCAAGCGUUUAAUCGGAAUUACUGGGCGUAAAGCGUGCGCAGGCGGUUAUGCAAGACAGAUGUGAAAUCCCCGGGCUCAACCUGGGAACUGCAUUUGUGACUGCAUGACUAGAGUACGGCAGAGGGGGAUGGAAUUCCGCGUGUAGCAGUGAAAUGCGUAGAUAUGCGGAGGAACACCGAUGGCGAAGGCAAUCCCCUGGGCCUGUACUGACGCUCAUGCACGAAAGCGUGGGGAGCAAACAGG
rnacentral:rRNA from 1 species